ACACACACACACACAAUGGAAGUUCCAUUAAAAAGAAUACUUUGGGGCUGGUAAUAUGGCCUAGUGGCAACAGAGCUUGCCUCGUAUACAUUAAGCCCUGGGUUCGAUUCCCCAGCACCACAUAUACAGAAAACGGCCAGAAGCGGCGCUGUGGCUCAAGU